GAUGAAGAACGCAGCGAAAUGCGAUACGUAAUGUGAAUUGCAGAAUUCAGUGAAUCAUCGAAUCUUUGAACGCAUAUUGCGCUCUCUGGUAUUCCGGAGAGCAUGCUUGUUUGAGUAUCAGUAAACACCUCAACUUCCAUAUCUUUUUUGAAAUGGGAGUUGGACUUGAGUGAUCCCAACGCUUUUCCUCACCGAAAAGUGGCGGGUUACUUGAAAUGCAGGUGCAGCUGGACUUUUCUCUGAGCUAUAAGCAUAUCUAUUUAGUCUGCCUAAAAAACAGAUUAUUACCUUUGCUGCAGCUAACAUAAAGGAGAUUAGUUCUUGUGCUGACUGAUGCAGGAUUCGCAAGGACAGGCUUCGGCCGACUUUGUAAACUCGAUCUCAAAUCAAGUAAGACUACCCGCUGAACUUAAGCAUAUCAAUAAGCGGAGGA
rnacentral:misc_RNA from 1 species